UUGGAGGGCAAGUCUGGUGCCAGCAGCCGCGGUAAUUCCAGCUCCAAUAGCGUAUAUUAAAGUUGUUGCAGUUAAAAAGCUCGUAGUUGAAUUUCGGAAUCAAUAUGUUGGUCGUGCCAUUGGUACGUACUGGCAUUAUUGGUUUCUACCUUCUGAAGAACCUCGAUGUCAUUAAUUUGGUGUCUUGGGGAAUCAGGACUGUUACUUUGAAAAAAUUAGAGUGUUUAAAGCAGGCUCGCGCUUGAAUACAUUAGCAUGGAAUAAUGAAACAGGACGUUUGAUUCUAUUUUGUUGGUUUCUAGGAUCGACGUAAUGAUUAAUAGGGAUAGUUGGGGGCAUUAGUAUUCAAUUGUCAGAGGUGAAAUUCUUGGAUUUAUUGAAGACUAACUACUGCGAAAGCAUUUGCCAAGGAUGUUUUCAUUAAUCAAGAACGAAAGUUAGGGGAUCGAAGACGAUCAGAUACCGUCGUAGUCUUAACCAUAAACUAUGCCGACUAGGGAUCGGAUGAUGUUAAUUUUUUAAUGACUCAUUCGGCACCUUACGGGAAAC
rnacentral:rRNA from 1 species